CCAUACCAUGCUGAUUAUAUCGGUUCUCGUUAGAUCACAGAAGUCAAGCAUCAUUGGGCGUAUUCAGUACUUGGGUGGGUGACCACCUGGGAACACCGCGUGCCGUU
rnacentral:rRNA from 1 species